rnacentral:rRNA from 1 species
GACGAACGCUGGCGGCGUGCUUAACACAUGCAAGUCGAACGGUGAAGGGACCGGUUUUUGCUGGUUCUGGAUGAGUGGCGAACGGGUGAGUAACACGUGAGUAACCUGCCCCCUUCUUCUGGAUAACCGCAUGAAAGUGUGGCUAAUACGGGAUAUUCUGCGCCUGCUGCAUGGUGGGUGUGGGAAAGAUAUUGAUUCGGUGGGGGAUGGGCUCGCGGCCUAUCAGCUUGUUGGGGGGGUGAUGGCCUACCAAGGCGGGGACGGGUAGCCGGCCUGGGAGGGUGGGCGGUCCGACGGGGACUGAGACACGGCCCAGACUCCUACGGGAGGCAGCAGGGGGGAAUAGUGCACAAGGGGAGCAAGCCUGAUGCAGCGACGCCGCGUGAGGGAUGGAGGCCUGCGGGUUGUAAACCUCUUUCGCCAGUGAAGCAGGCCUGUCCCUUUUGUGGGUGGGUUGACGGUAGCUGGAGAAGAAGCGCCGGCUAACUACGUG